rnacentral:siRNA from 1 species
UUCACUCAGGGUUUGAAUGAUUGC